UGGCUCUCGCAUCGAUGAAGAACGCAGCGAAAUGUGAUAAGUAAUGUGAAUUGCAGAAUUCAGUGAAUCAUCGAAUCUUUGAACGCAUCUUGCGCUCUCUGGUAUUCCGGAGAGCAUGCCUGUUUGAGUGUCAUGAACUCUUCAACCCACCGGUUCCUUGUUGGAUCGAGUUGGUGUUUGGAUCUUGAGCGUUGCUGGCUUAACCUGUAACAAGGUGAAAAGUGUAGCUCGUUCGUAAUACAUUAGCAUCUCAACUUCGAAACUCGGAUUGACUCAGCGUUGUAGACUAUUCGCUGAGGACACAUUGACUUUGGUUAGUGUGGCCGAAUUAGAUCAUUAGAAGCUUCUAAUCCCCCAUUAGUCAAAACUAUAAGAUUAGACCUCAGAUCAGGCAGGAUUACCCGCUGA
rnacentral:misc_RNA from 1 species